GCUCUUCUAGCUCAGUGGUAGAGCGUGGGAUUGCAGCCCUUGCAAUUCAUCCUAAGGUCAGUCGUUCGAACCGGCUGGAGAGCU